GACGAGCGCUGGCGGCGUGCCUAAUACAUGCAAGUCGAGCGGAUCUUCAUUGGCUUGCUUUUGAAGAUCAGCGGCGGACGGGUGAGUAACACGUGGGCAACCUGCCUGUAAGACUGGGAUAACUUCGGGAAACCGGAGCUAAUACCGGAUAAUCCUUUUCCUCUCAUGAGGAAAAGCUGAAAGACGGUUUCGGCUGUCACUUACAGAUGGGCCUGCGGCGCAUUAGCUAGUUGGUGAGGUAACGGCUCACCAAGGCGACGAUGCGUAGCCGACCUGGGAGUGUGAUCGGCCACACUGGGACUGAGACACGGCCCAGACUCCUACGGGAGGCAGCAGUAGGGAAUCUUCCGCAAUGGACGAAAGUCUGACGGAGCAACGCCGCGUGAGCGAUGAAGGCCUUCGGGUCGUAAAGCUCUGUUGUCAGGGAAGAACAAGUACCGGAGUAACUGCCGGUACCUUGACGGUACCUGACCAGAAAGCCACGGCUAACUACGUGCCAGCAGCCGCAGUAAGAC
rnacentral:rRNA from 1 species